rnacentral:rRNA from 1 species
GAGAGAGACAUGCGCGCAUAUCAAUAAGCGGAGGAAAAGAAACUAACUAGGAUUCCCUCAGUAACGGCGAGUGAAGCGGGAAGAGCUCAAAUUUGAAAUCUUCAAGGUUCUACCUUGACGAAUUGUAGUUUAAAGAAGUGUUUUCUGUUGGAGUUUUGGUAAAAGUUCUUUGGAAUAGGACAUCAUAGAGGGUGAGAAUCCCGUAUUUGACCAUUAUUUCCAGCUUUGUGAUACACUAUCAAAGAGUCGGAUUGUUUGGGAAUGCAGUCCAAAAUGGGUGGUAAAUUUCAUCUAAAGCUAGAUACUUGGCGAGAGACCGAUAGCGAACAAGUACCGUGAGGGAAAGAUGAAAAGAACUUUGAAAAGAGAGUUAAACAGUACGUGAAAUUGUCAAAAGGGAAGCGUUUGACACCAGUGUUGUUUUCUCGAAAAUCAAUUAAAAAAGGCAGGAUUUUGUGUUGUAUUGACUUUAUCAGCUUUCUGCACUCUUUUCUUGUCUUUUUUAAUGCACUUUUCGUUUAACAAGUCAACAUCAAUUUCUUUUGUUGUAAAAGGGUCAUUGGAAGGUGGCUUUCUUUUCGGAGAAAGUGUUUAUAGCCUUUGGCCUCUGCAAUCGGAGAGAUUGAGGUCUGCAGCGUAGGAUCCCUUCGGGGUUAGAUACAUUUGUGCUAAGUUAUAGCCUUUCAUAGACAACUUGUUGACUAUGAUCAGUCAUGUAGCUUACUCGCUUAUGCUAUUUUACCUACGCUUAGGAUGUUGAUGUGAUACUGCGAGCA